ACCAAGGUGCCAGCAGGACUGGGUUCCCUUCUGCAGGUUCUAGAAGAGAAUCCAUGUCUUGCCUUUUCCAGCUUCUACAGGCCACCUUUUCCUUAAAUCACAACUUCCUCCCAUCCUCAAAGUCAGCACUGGCCAGGCAACCAUGGCAAAAAUUCUAUCACUAUAGAAGAAAGAUAGGUGCCACACUCCCCAACAAGGCUAUGAUCUCAGAAAUUGGGUAUCCCCCCCGCCCAGUUCCACCAUAAUGAUGUGCUCAUGGUGGAGGAGGUGGAUGGAACCUUCUCUGCUGUGCAGGGCUGGAAAGCCUAUAAGACCUAUCUGGAUUCUAGUGUCUUUGAAGAAAGCAACACCCUCUUUGGUCACUCAUUCAAUGA